GUGCCAGUGGUGUAGGGGCAUCAUGCAGGGUUUCCCAAUCUUGCGACCCGGGUUUGAGUCCUGGUUGGUGCA
rnacentral:tRNA from 1 species